UCCGAGUCGGGCUCCUCGCCGCAGACGUGCGACCAGUCAACAGCCACCGAUCUGGAUGACGUCAGCAUUCCAGCGACCAAUGAGGAUUUGUCUCUUCCACUCUCGAUAGACUCGGGGCUCGAUCUCUCCAGCGAUUAUAAGAAGGCGCGCGUGACGGAGGGGCGGGCGUGGCUGGCGCAGCUCUCCCGCGCGACGGGCGAGGCUGAGGCCGCGGCCUCCACCACCUCGCCGCCCUCCUCGACUGGGUGGCCGCCCUGCCCGCCCACACGCACCAUGCCCUGUCCUCGCCCAUGAGCCCCACUCUGGCCGCCCCCCCCACACCGAAGACCAAGAUGGGCGUGGAGGAACUGGGUGGUGACCUGGGUCGGGAUCUGAUGCUGCUGGCCGCCCGUCUGCAGGAGACGCUGACGGAGCCCGCGCGCAGGAGGCCGUCCUGCUCGAUACCAUCGCGAAGUUACGCGUGCUGGACUCCUCGCUGUCGGAGCUGCAGUCGCGCGUCGUGACGCUGACGGAGGAGAAUCGGGAGCUGCAGGAGGCGGUGACGAGCCUGAGCGAGGCGCACGAGACGCGCACGGAGGCCUCGGGCACGGAGAGCGAGCUGGUGCACCGCAAGACGCCCUCCAUCCACUCCGACCUCAGCGACUCCGAGAGCGACGCCCCGA